rnacentral:rRNA from 1 species
GAUGAACGCUAGCUACAGGCUUAACACAUGCAAGUCGAGGGGAAACGAUAGAGAAAGCUUGCUUUUUCUAGGCGUCGACCGGCGCACGGGUGAGUAACGCGUAUCCAACCUGCCCAUCACUUGGGGAUAACCUUGCGAAAGUAAGACUAAUACCCAAUGACGUCUCUAGAAGACAUCUGAAAGGGAUUAAAGAUUUAUCGGUGAUGGAUGGGGAUGCGUCUGAUUAGCUUGUUGGCGGGGUAACGGCCCACCAAGGCGACGAUCAGUAGGGGUUCUGAGAGGAAGGUCCCCCACAUUGGAACUGAGACACGGUCCAAACUCCUACGGGAGGCAGCAGUGAGGAAUAUUGGUCAAUGGACGAGAGUCUGAACCAGCCAAGUAGCGUGCAGGAUGACGGCCCUAUGGGUUGUAAACUGCUUUUAUAAGGGAAUAAAGUGAGAGUCGUGACUCUUUUUGCAUGUACCUUAUGAAUAAGGACCGGCUAAUUCCGUGCCAGCAGCCGCCGUAA